GUUACAGCCUGUCGCCACUAGAUGGGGGUCGAGAGCCACGUGUUCUGCGCUCUCCGCCUUCGGGCAAGAUGGCGGCUCCCGGUGCACUUCUCCGUCAGGGAGGGGCUGCUAUUCUCAGGUGCCGAUCUGGAUUCAGUUCAGCAGCGUUAGUCCCACACUCCAUUGAAAAGGCCCAACAAACAGUGAAAAGAAAUGGACUUGAAAGCAACGUAUUGCAAUGCUGAAGACAAAGUAUUGGCUGGAAUGGUAUAUAUUUGGACAGUCAUAACUAUGAUAUUAAAGGAGACAGGCCACGUCUGACCUGCUGUUGAUAUAACCAUAGGCUGGCAACACAUGCCUCAAGAGCCGCACAACCUUCCAUCAUUCAAGAUUCGUGGAGGACAGAUGUUUUCCAUCAGAGUGAUAGUAUUUUUACACUGCUUUCAUUAAACUGUCAUUUCUUAAACUGCUUCAAUUUCAGGCGCCUUUUAUCGCUUUGUUAGUUUUAAUGCAUCUCUCUAUACGUUGGAUGACAGAGACGUAGCCCUGACUUUAAUUGUGUGUAUAUUUCCCAAAAAUUGGGCCAUACACACUCACAGGAGCCCCCUCUGGAAUUGCACCUAAUUGUGAAGUGAAAGCAAUAUGGGAGCAAGCACCAUAAAGAUCACUAGUUAUUCAUGACGUGGAGACUGAGAAGUAUUAUGUAUGUAUUAAAAUGCUUUGAAGUGAAACAUUUAUGCAACUCACUUUGAAAGAAUCAAUAACUUUGAUAUAUUAGUGCAGUUGAAAAUACUGUUCACUUAGCACAAAAUGGAUGUAAGACAGAAAUAAAAUGAAUGUUCAAAACCAACAGCUAUCUGGCAAACUCAAAAAACACCAUCAGUACAAUUGAACUAAAUGAUCCUUUCUGCAACUUCCUCUUUAAUGCAAAGGUUUAAAAGUGUCCAUUGUAUAUCAUUUUGAUAUUAAAUGGCAAUAUUUACUUGAAUUUCCUCAGUUAGAUUUAUUUUAUUUUAUUCUAUUGUUUUCAUGACUUAUAAGGUACAACCAUUAGAAUCUUAGUUCAAACGUAGGCUUAGAAGGGGAAAUUUAUUCCUAAACCAUAAUUAGUAGAGAAUGGUGACUGUUUGAACCAUUAUGCAUAAGAGUUAAUUGAUGAGAGAGAACCCAUAACACAUCAGCAUCAGCUCAUUCUAACUUUAUGCUGAUUUUUCCCUACACUCUGAUGAGAGAAUAUCAGGAAUAAAAAUACUGAAAAGGCUGUUUUAGAAUGAAUUGAAAAUCUUCUGAAUUUGUGAUCUGCUGUACAUAUUUUAGAGACUUGCAAAAGAGCAAAAUUAAGAGAAAACUAUUUUUAAAUGUUAAAAGUUCUCCAUUUAGAAUUCCUGAAAUUAAUAUAAAGAUACUAAAUUGCAAUCCUAAUCACUGUGAAGAGACAUUAUCCAGGAAUAUUUUCCACCUACACUCCACUUUUCCUUGCAAAUCACACUUUUGGGUUAUUAUCACAGUAAUGAGUAUAGUUGUUAAUGUGGUCCCUGAUCUUCUGGUAAUAAAUUUGUAUUCCAUUAAAAGGAACAGACAGUGAAUUAGAGGUCAGUUAGAUUUUAUCGCAAUAUGAAUCAAGCUCUUUGAUUGAAAUUCAUUUUCUAGGUUAUAUUUUGAUUGUGUUGAAUGUUUGUUUCUGAAAGCAAACAAAAUUUUGUGAUGCUUGUGUAUUUGCUAAGCAGGCUCUAAACAAAUAAUCAAGAAAUUAUCUCUGAAAAAAGAAGAUGCAAUGUUCUCUAUACUUACUAGUAUACUUCAUAACAUGAAAUUUAAUUAGCCAAAUUCAAUAAUUCACAAAGCUGGUAAAAGAAUGAUAACGAACCAUCAUAGAAUAAGUACAGGGACACUGUGCACAGAUAUAUUUCAUUAAUGGAAUUAAUUUAGAAUUUUAAUUAAAUAGGUUACUUACUAGCCCACACUAUAAUUUCAUUAAAUUAAAUGAUAAUGCUUCACUACCAAGCAUCUAUUAAAGGACCCUCCCAAUUGAGGCAUACAUUGUACAGUUUCACACAGUCAAAAUAGAUGGACAAGUUUAAAAAAAUUGAUCCUUCUUUUAACUAUGCUCAGGAAGUUUUUAAGCAAAACAAUUAAUAAAUCUAAAACAUAUAGUUUCACGCAAAGAGAAUCAUUAAACUUUCUCAAAAUUUUAUAAAACCAGUCUACCAAUAGGUAUAUGAAGAUUUUAAAAACUAUUCUCCUGUGCGCUCUCUGUCUAAACUUAAAGCCAUUUUGUAUGUAUGAAUUUGAACAGAUAUAAGAUUAGAAAAGCUCUAAUUGGUAUAUUUCUUUUAUUCAUUAACAAACACUUAUUGAGUGUCUGCUAUGGGUCAGUUCUGUACUAGACGCUGGAGAUAUAGUAAGGAAUUAAAAGACAGAUAAAAUGCCUGCCCUCAUAAAUUUUUCUACUGGGGAUUUUGCAGAAAAUUUGUGAAGAUAAUCAAGAUUAUGCGAAAUGUUAUGGUCACAUAAUUUUAUUUUUACUUCUCAUUGACUUUAGGUUUCUUGCAUUUUCAUCCAUAAUUUUACUUUAAAAUUUUUAUUUUAUGCAAUUUUGCAUACAUACUUUAUGCUCUGGUACAGAAAUUAUAUCAUUAUUUGUGUUGUAAUUGAACAUAUUAAAACAUUGUAUAUUGAACUUGCAUAGUACCAAAAAUUCUAUGCAAAAACUGUCGUUUUAAUAUAAUGUAUAUUUAAAGUAUAAGGAUACAGUCUAUGUAAUAUUUUCUAGUUAGCAUUAAUUUAAUUUGGUAUUGGUCAUUAAGAGACAGGGGCCAUUUUCUUCAGCUACUAUCAUUUUGAAGUUAUAGAUUGGAAUCAAAUGGAAAAGGAUUAUAUUUUUCAGUGUUCUAUUGUUUUCUCUUAGUAUAUUAAUAGUCAUUCAUGGAUAUGAAGGCAGAUGAACAGCAGAUAUAAUACAAAUAUUCAUAUGUAAUGAUCUACACUAUAUUUUAACAUUAAUAAACUUUACAAAAGAAAAAGUGAUAAUUGUAGAAGGGAAAACUAAUGGUUAAUGAUUUCUCACAGAAAUAAAGUAUAAAUUAUAUUUAAAUGGUAUUUUAAAAUAGUUUAUACAAAUAAACAAUGGAAAAUUUUACUUUUCCUUCCUUACUUUUACUGUGUAAGGAUAUUAUCUCUGACUUUUCAAAUCAAAAUUUAGAAAUGCAUAAGGAUAAUGUAAAGAAAAAUGGGGACUAAACAGUCCCCAAUUAGUUAACUCUUACCCAGGUGUUUUUUUAAAUUUUAUUUUCAUCUCAUUAUUUUUAGGGCAACUAGCCAUAAUUUCACUUUUAAAGCUAUACUAAAUAACUUCAGAUAAAUGAAAACUUUCAUCACUGAGUUUUCUUGUACUUCAAGUGAAUUAUAAGAAACUAUUUUUUGACAGAUUGUAAGAAAUGAAAUAAAUUGAUAGAUAAUUGCCAAUUUUCUUCACAUCAAACAAUACACAUGUGCUAAUAUUUUAUUUUACUUUUCAUUCAAUCUAUUUAAUAAUUUGAUAUUGAACUUUGUGAGUUUUAUGUAAGUAAUUUAUCAGAAUUAAGUUUAAUCCCAUUCUUUCAGUUAUAAUGAUGUAUAAACUAAACAUUAGAUUAAAUAAUUUUCUUAAAAAGCUGUCAACGAGUAAUUUACUUUAAUUUAGCUAAUCUACAACUAUCAUGUACUAUGAGUCUGGAAUGAUGCGGGAUUUUCACUCAUGUAAAAAAAUUUUUUUAAAGUAUUUAUAAGUGGCACAUAAUCAUUCUUUUAGAGGCAUACCUCAUUUUAUUUAUGCUUCACUUUAUUGCGCUUUGCUGAUGUUUGCAUUUUUCACAAACUGAAGGUUUGUAGCAAUCCUGCAUGGAGCAAACCUAUAAGCACCAUUUUUCCAACAGUACUUCUUCAUUUCAUGUCUCUGUGUCACAUUUUGGUAGUUCUCACAAUAUUUCAAAAUUUCAUUGUUAUUAUAUUUGUCAUGGUCAUCUGCGAUCAGUGAUCUUUGAUGUUACCAUUGUAAUUGUUUUGGGGCACCAUGAACCAUGCCCAUAUAAGGUGGAAAACUUAAUCAAUAAAUGUUGUGUGUGUUCCGA